rnacentral:rRNA from 1 species
AGUGUAGGCGGUUAUCUAAGUCGGAUGUGAAAGCCCUGGGCUCAACCUGGGAAUGGCGUUCGAUACUGGGCAACUAGAGUUUGGUAGAGGUAAGUGGAAUUCCGGGUGUAGCGGUGAAAUGCGUAGAUAUCCGGAGGAACAUCAGUGGCGAAGGCGGCUUACUGGACCAAAACUGACGCUGAGGCUCGAAAGCGUGGGGAGCAAACAGGAUUAGAUACCCUGGUAGUCC